rnacentral:piRNA from 1 species
UGUAAGGGACAGAGAUUAAGUUUGGC